CAAAGAAUGAAAUUUUCACAUAUAAAGAAAUAAAAAAAAAUACAUUUAUUACAUUCAGAGUAACAAAAUUAUGGCUAAAGUUUACAUGUUUGUUUAUGCUUUGAUUAUCUUUGUUUCUCCGUUUCUUCUUGCAACCUUCAGAACUCGCCUUCCUUGUGAAAAAGAUGAUGAUUGUCCAGAGGCAUUUUUACCUCCAGUUAUGAAGUGUGUUAAUCGUUUUUGUCAGUACGAGAUACUUGAAUAAUUAAGUUUAAAAAUAAUUGUAUUACCACUAAAAGUAUCGUUUUAAUUUGUAUUUAUAUGUCAUAAUGUUUGUACCUUUACUAUAUACCUCAAAAUUUAAUCUAUGUUUUUCUGCCCUUCAAUUUUUAUGACAAGCUCAGAAGUGUAUUAUUAUAUAGGUCAUGUUAACUUGUGCCUUAAGGGUACGUUUGGUUUGCAAAACAGUAAGUACUGGACAGAAGAGUACAAUGCAGAACAGCACAACACAAGACAUAACAACACAUGACAAAUUUUUAUGAUAUUGAAUAAUUUCUUGUUUUAUAUGAUUUUUGGAUGACAAAAUGUUAUUUUGGUGUUUUA